rnacentral:lncRNA from 1 species
CUAGUGUGGGUAUCAGUAUCCAGAUGUGUAAUAAAAAUUAUUAAAAAUAGUCUUUCUUACAUUUUAUAUAAAAAGUAUAAAUAGAAAUUCUAAUAUACUUUUCUAUAUUCCAGCGGAUUGUCUUGCAUAUUCCCUUGUUCCUAAAGAUUUGUGCCAGAAGACAAAUAAGAAUGAACUCUAGUGUGCUCCUUUUAAAAUUCUCCAUCAUCUGUGUCAUCUGGCACUAAUCCUGGAUACUUUGACCCUCCUUCCAAAAUAAUAUACUUCCUCAUUUAGACCACGGCUUGGAAGGCUAAGGAAUGGCAGUCACUCCUCAACAACGCAGCAGCCCAGAUAUCAAAAUCCUGCUUCUGAGAAGAGUGCCAGUGACAUGUUUAAAAGACCCAUUUUAACAGGAAAAGUUACAAAGCCAA